GGAUGUGAGGUCGAUCUGGCUGUGAAAUGUCACCCCAUUAUCACCAGGCUUUAUUCAGCUGAUCUGGCUGGCUAGGCAGGUGUCCCCUUCCUCCCUCACUGCUCCAUGUGUGUCCCUCCCAAAGCUGCUUGCUCGGUGAAAGACGAUGACCUUCCCUGAUAGUGGAGAGGACUGGUCUUCUGUCAAGGGUGUAAGAAUAGCUUUGCUCCCCUGCUAGAAUCUCUAAACAAGCUGCCAAGGUCCAUUUGUAGGAGAACAUAGGGUAGUCAAGCUUCCAAGACUCCAGACACUUCCAAAUGAGGCUCUGCUCAUGGCAGUCUGCCUUUCUUU
ensembl:misc_RNA 7SK 7SK RNA